rnacentral:lncRNA from 1 species
CUAGAUCAAACACAAGAAUGAUUGUGAUUGUAUCCUAAGAAAACCAUCGGCCGUCGUAUUAACUACUAAAAAUAUGAUUAAACCUAUGAUUAAGUCCAUGCCAUCUGUUUCUUAUUAAUUAAUUUAUUUUUGGUUAUAUGGUCUUCUUCCUCCCCUUUGCGUUUUGGAAAACCAAGUUUGGUAUAAAAAUGAAGCAAGAAAAUAUAGGUAAUAUUGGUGAAAUUCAGAAAGCAGCCCAAGUAUAUAUAUAUGUAUAAAUGUAAGAAAAUUGGCUGUUACAUAAUUAUUUGAAUUUGUAAUAUUGUUUUGAGUAAAUUGUAACAAUGGUACCUUAACUUUAACUCAAUUGGAGUAAUGGUCACUUAACUAAAAAUCUAUCACCAUUAUUCCCUCAACUCAUCAAAACAUGCAGCUAUGGUCUCUCAACUAAAAAUUCAUUACCAUUGGUCUCUCAACUGUAAUCCAACUGGAAAAAUGGUUCCUCAAUUGUAACUCAAUUGGAGCAAUGGUCCCUCAACUUUAACUCGAUUGGAGUAAGAGUCAUUUCAACAUAACUCAUUUUGACAAAGUUGACAAAAAUGACCUUGGCUACACGUUUUAUGAGUUGAGAGACCCCAAUUAUGGCAAUGGUCAUUCCAACAUAACUUAUUUUGACAAAAUUCUGACGAAGUUGAAGAAAAUGACCAUAUCUACACAUUUUGAUGAGUUGAGGGACCAAUGGUAAUGAAUUUUCAGUUGAGAGACCAUUGCUCCAAUUUGAUUAAAAUUGAGGAACAAUUGCUACAAUUUACUCUUUUGUUUUUGUUAUGUAGUUGGAGUACAAUAGCUUUUCCACUUUCGGACUUCUUCCUACUUCUUGUGCCCAUUCUGGUUGCCAACCCUAGCUAAAGUUGAAGUCUGCUUGUUUCUUUUUAUCCAGCUUUCAUCAAUUACAUACUGCUUU